UACGUAGGAGGCAAGCGUUGUCCGGAGUUACUGGGCGUAAAGAGCGCGCAGGCGGUCGUGCAAGUCGCGUGUGAAAGCCCCCGGCUCAACUGGGGAGGGUCACGCGAUACUGCUCGACUCGAAGGCAGGAGAGGGAAGUGGAAUUCCCGGUGUAGUGGUGAAAUGCGUAGAUAUCGGGAGGAACACCAGUGGCGAAGGCGACUUCCUGGCCUGUUCUUGACGCUGAGGCGCGAAAGCUAGGGUAGCAAACGGG
rnacentral:rRNA from 1 species